GAGUGCGCUUGCGUUGCAUGCUGGCGGCGGGGAGAGUGGACGGGUUCGGUUCCUUUAGUGAAUCUGAGGCGACCCGGGGAAGGGAGGCUGGUUGCUAGCAAUGGGUAAGGAGCAGGAGCUGCUCGAAGCGGCGAGGACCGGCAAUGUAGCCGUGGUGGAGAAGCUGCUGAGCAGUAGGCAUCGGCUGUCGGCAGGCAGCGGUGGAACGGUGUCCCUGCCUCAGCUUUCCAACCUUCUCAGCAUUUGGAGAGGGCCAAAUGUUAACUGUGUUGACACCUCAGGUUACACUCCACUGCACCAUGCUGCUCUUAAUGGACAAAGGGAAGUUGUUGAAAUGCUACUGAAGAAUGAAGCUUCCACUAACAUCGCAGAUAACAAGGGGUGUUAUCCACUUCAUCUUGCUGCUUGGAAAGGAGAUUCACACAUAGUCAGGCUUCUUAUUCAUCAAGGACCAUCCCAUGCAAAAGUCAAUGAACAGAAUGCUAUUGAGAGCAAAGACCUCAAAAAGUAUGGCCCUUUUGACCCUUAUAUCAAUGCCAAGAACAAUGACAAUGAGACGGCCUUGCACUGUGCAGCACAGUAUGGUCACUCAGACGUUGUAAAAGUUCUUCUUGAGGAGCUCACAGAUCCUACAAUGAGAAACAACAAAUUUGAAACUCCGUUGGACUUGGCAGCAUUAUAUGGGAGGCUGGAGGUGGUGAAAAUGCUGUUAAAUGCCCACCCAAACCUAUUGAGCUGUAACACCAAGAAACACACACCACUUCACUUGGCAGCAAGAAAUGGACAAAAAGCAGUAGUAGAAGUUCUUUUGGAAGCAGGGAUGGACAUCAACUAUCAGACAGAGAAAGGCAGUGCACUUCAUGAAGCUGCUUUGUUUGGGAAGACUGAUGUGGUCCAGAUACUUCUAGCAUCUGAAAUUGAUGUGAAUAUUAAAGAUAUCCAAGGAAAGUCUGCACUGGAAAUUGUACGGGAGCAUCCAGCUCAGAAAAGCAAAGAGAUAGCAACUCUUAUUCAAGAUUACAUGGCAGGAAAAGAGAUCCUGAAGAGCACAGAAAGUACUGUUGUAUUGUCCAAAAUACCACCAAUUCGUAUCGUUGAGCAGUGUAAUAAAAAAUCUAAGGGUGAGGAACAAAUGGAAUUAACAAAACUUAUUACAGAAUUUGAAAGCCAGCCAAAUGAGGAAUGUCCAUAUGAGGCUUUGUGCAAUGCUACUUCACACUCUGUAGAAAGCUUGAGAGCAUCUGACAAAGAAACCAGUUCCAGCCAAGAAUUAAUCCAGGAUUCAGAUGUGAAGGAAACUCCGGAAAAGUUUGAAGAAGAUGAGAAUCCCUACGAGCUACUACUGACUGCGGAAACCAAGAAGUUAACAACUUUGGAUAUAUCCCAACAUGAAACAGAAAAUACAGAUGAGAAGGCUGGUCCUGAUUCUGUGUCUUCUGAAGUGGCAACCAAACCCAAUUGGAACUUCACCUCAUCUCAGGUUCCAGAUUUACUACCAACUGGUGACAUUCAGUCGGUCAGGAGUCAAGAGGUCCACUUGUCAUCUAGCAAUAAACCAAACCUUACACUUAAACUUAUGUCACCAUCUAUUAUUGUUACCCCAGAUCACAUGAAUAGUGAGGUUGAAUCUCAGGACAUCAACAUUCCUGAGCAGUUUUCGGGACUUCUGCAUGGGUCACCUCCAGUCUCUGAGAUUCAGAACGAUCCAGUCACUCUACUAGUUGCUUUGAGCAAAGGGGGAGUGGAAGCUGAAGCGAUGCAAAGCAGAGUCUUGCCAGAGAGGCAACACUGUGCAACAGGGCAGGCAGUGAACACUAACAUUAAGAACUCUGCAGCAGAUGUUGCUGAGCAAAAAGGGCAGCAAGUAAUCCAUAAUACAAUCCGUGACAUCCCCAUCAGCCAGGCGGAUCCUGCAAAUUCUAAGUCUGUUCAACGUGCUGUUCCAUUCAGCAAGGGAGUAGAAAGACGGACAUGUACUUCAGAAAGACCACGGCCCAGUGGAAAAGCUAAAGCUGACCUGAAAUUUGCAAGAACUUUGUCAAAAUCGGAUUCUGAGCUCAUUAUAUGUUCCCCAUCUGAGGAAGAUAUGCUGGGAAGUCGUAGUGAGUCUCUUUCAAACUGCAGUUCAGUGAAGAAACGAUUAGAAAAAUCGCCAUCCUUUCAGUCAGAAUGGGAGGAGCAGAAAUCUCUUCUUCCAAUGUCUAAUCCUCACAGAUCUAAGUCUGUGUGCAGUAUUGAGAAAAUAAUGAGUUCCAUUGGUGCAGGGAUUGACAGUGACUUCAGAAAAGAUCGACAUAAUGCUUCAGGUUCAAGGAUACUGGAGCAGAGUGUCGGGCAGUGGCUUGAAUCGAUUGGGAUGCAACAGUAUGAAAGUAAGCUGCUACUGAAUGGAUUCGAUGAUGUGCGCUUCAUGGGGGCCAACAUAAUGGAAGAGCAGGACUUGCGAGAACUUGGAAUUCAUGAAGCAGGACAUCGACGCAGGAUUCUUCAAGCUGCACGUUCACUUCCAAAGAUUAAACCAUUUGGUUUUGAUGGAAACAGCAAUACUUCAGUCGUAGCAUGGUUAGAAUCGCUUGGUCUACAGGAUUACAGUCAGACGUUUUUAUCCAGUGGAUACAAUUCAAUGGACAGUGUGAAAAACCUCUGGGAACUCGAAAUUGUAAACGUGCUGAAAAUAGCCUUGCUCGGUCAUCGGAAGCGAAUCUUAGCCUCUCUUGGAGACCGACCUUAUGAAGAACCACCUCAAAAGCCACCGCGAUUGUCCCAGCUGAAGGAUGAUCAGCGGGAGUCAAGAUUAACGCUUCGCCCACCAAGUUUAGCAACACCAUAUGCUCCUGUUCAGAACUGGCAGCACCAACCAGAGAAACUUAUCUUUGAAUCUUGUGGCUAUGAGGCUAAUUAUUUGGGUUCCAUGCUGAUUAAGGAACUGAAGGGGACUGAAUCAACACAAGAUGCUUGUGCAAAGAUGAGGAAAUCAACUGAACAAAUGAAAAAGAUUCCAACUAUUUUCCUCUCCAUCACAUACAAGGGUGUAAAAUUCAUUGAUGCCUUCAACAAGAAUAUUAUUGCUGAACAUGAAAUCCGCAAUAUUUCCUGUGCAGCCCAGGACCCUGAAGACCUCUGUACAUUUGCUUAUAUCACUAAAGACUUGCAGACAAAUCACCACUAUUGUCAUGUUUUCAGCACACUCGAUGUAAAUUUAACAUAUGAAAUCAUCCUCACACUAGGACAGGCAUUUGAAGUGGCCUACCAGCUUGCUUUACAAGCCCAGAAACCUGCUCAGAAGUCCUAUCUCACAGCUGAGCCAGAGUCAGAAGAAAUUAGGUCAUCUAAACCAAUUCCUAAACCACGAUCCAGCAUGAGAAAAUCUACUGUGCAGCCACCUAACAGCAGAUGCUAUUACUGUCACACGUGCACUACUCACAGGCCUUCGCAUCCGCUUCUCCCGCUUCAUGCGUUCAGCCAAGGAGUCCAGAUUGACUCUAUUGAGCAAGAUUCUCAAUCGCAUGGCAGUGUGGCGUGGAUAGCAGACUCUAAGCCGGACUCCAAGAGGACAAUCAGUACCAAGUAUGAAACCACCAUAUUCUGACCACCUGCUCCAGCUUCUACUCCGUGCCUUUGCACUGUGAAUCUAUUCCACCUCUCCGCUUCCUAAUGCGGGUACUCAAAAGCUGCUUUCACUCUCUUACCCAGAAGGAAACUUUUACUUGUGUUUCCUGUACCGUAUUGUGUUAUUCAACAAUAGCUGCCUUCAGACAUCUUGGGGAUCUUCUGCUACUUAAAAAGAAGCUCUGAAAAUUACUUGGAAGUCUUAUUCCAUGCCUGAACUUUUGAAAUACUCUAACUUGCCAACACUGUGAGCUGUUGCACUGUUAAUUCAUCCACCCAAAUGCUACUAAACGUUGCAUGCAUUGUUACUUGGACCCGUUGCAUCUCCUUUCAGAACAGCACAUCUCGGUAGAUACUAAUGGUUGGAUGUUUCUACCGAUGAAUCUAAUGUGCUUUUUAACACAUCGCGUUUUCUUUUAACUUUGUUCCUCAAACACUGAUUUAAGCAAUUUCUUAACUUGUGCCUCAUCCAAGCUGUCUUGUGGUUUGGUUAAUUCCAAACUGAGUGAAGAAGGAUGGAGUUAUGGUUUAGCCAAAUUGGCUUAAGUUAUUAAAAAUAAAACUUUAUUUGUGUUCUAAUUUUUCAGAGUUUCUACCAUACGAAAUGAAUCAAGAUUUCACCAGUUUUUUUUUUAUUGACCAAAAAAAGCUAAAAGACCACAAGCCAGUUUGGCUGCAAAAUUUUUUAAAAUAAUUUUUACUUCAGAAAUCAGCAUGUCUGAAACAAUCAGUGUUUUUAAGGAGGUUAUGGAAAUGCUUACUUUGAUACAUCGGUUUAGACAUGUGCCAUUUAACAUUUAUAAGUAAUCAAACUGAAGAGAUUCUCUACUUUUUCAAUUUAGAAUGGUCACAGAUAUUGCCAUUUCAGAGAUUACAUUGAGAUUAACUGUUGAACUCUAGUCUGUUUAUAACAGCUGCAUUUUUGACAUCUACUGUCAACUCACUUUAAUUCGAAAUUGUUUUAUCCAAAUAAUCUGAUUCUUUUUAUUGAGGCUAAGUUUCUACCUUAUUAUUCGUGCGCUAAAUUCAGGUUAUUGAAUCAUUUCAGAUUUUUUGAAACACAAAAUACUUCAAAACAUCUGUACUGCCACCAGAAUCAUAUGCAUUGGUUACUUGAAUAGAGCUCCUGUUCACUAAUUAUGUACACUGGACCUAUGCAAUUGCAUGUCUUCUGUCAGUGUGUGGUAUUAUUGAUUUAUUCCAUAUUUUGUUUACUUUUUCAGAAUUGUUGCACAUGAUAUUUUUUAAUGUUAAAAUCUGUUGUCAAACUUUUCAAUUGUGUUCUUUCCUUUUCUCUCUUUUUAUUUUGUGCUUAGAAGGUUUCACUUAUUGACUGAGCCGGGUUCUUUCAUUGUCCAUAAUUGAGGCUGUUAACAGCAAUAUUUCUUGCCUGCAGGGAUUCCAAAACCUUCAAACUAAUAACAAAUCAGUGAACAUCUGUGCAAUAAACCAAUAAUAACGCUUCUGUGCUAAAGGAGUGUCCACACUUAAAAUAUUAAUUUGUGCACUCUUAAUCGUGAUCCUGACUAUGCUACUUAGUACUACCAGCAUUUUCAGUUUUUGCUUGAUUUCCAGCAUCUUCACUGUUAUUUUUCAUUAUCGAAUGAAAUGUUGGGCAAAUUGAAAGAUAAAAUGAUGUUACAUUUCAGAAUUUGAGGAGUUCUUCCCAUUGUAACACCAUUUUGAAAAUAUUCUUUGUAUUGACUAUUCAUUUCUAAUGACAAGUAGAUUUUUAAAAGCAAUGCAUUAUUCAGCAACUUUUAGCACACUAUUUUGUACCGGCUUAAUAACAGUUACAGUUUGCAAUAAGUUUACCCUUUAAUGUAGUUAUUUUGUGACAAUAGUACCUUUCUGUAAACAAAGUGUCCACAGGCUUUAGCAUUAGUAUUAAGAGUACGCCGGAAGACCUCCAACUGAGUGCUCUUAGAUGUGGUGAUGCAUUCAAGUUGUCUUAUUGAUGGAAGGCUGUUGAAGGGAAUCAUUUCCAGCGUGGUGUUCGUUUUUGUACACAGUUAACACAACUAACAGAUUUACUAAUGUUUCAUUUACAAAAUAUGGUGAAAAUGUUUGCAGCAGAGGCAAGGCAAAGAAGAUUCUUGAACAAUUUCUAUCCUGCCUUUAGCACUGAGAUCAACCUAGUCAUUGCCAAAAACACCCUCUGUAGUUUGUGGUUCACUGCCUCUUAUUAAUGUCUGCAGAUGCCAAGAAUGUUGGCUGCUCCAUUUUUUCCCUAUCCUUACUUUUGUAGCCAGAUAUAUAUACCUGUUAGAUAACAAUAUAAUGUGCGGUUUUUUGAUAACACUAUCAUUCUGCUGUCCUUUUUGACUGCCUGCGUAACAUAACCAAAAUCAUUUCAUAUUCAGCAAAAUAAAGCAAUUCAUUUUGGAUUUUGCUAGCUAUAACUUUUGUACUGACCCCAGCUGUCUGUUCUGGCUGAAUCUGCUGUCCAAGCUGGAAUUGAUCACUAUAAUCUGCUGCAUCAUCAUCCUCUGAUCUGUUAAAUAUUGUCAUCACUGACAUAUGUACACACAUCCAUACCACACUCUCUUCCCCCCCUAAAAAACAAAACUAAUCCGUAAGUCUAAGGUCCCUAGCCUUUCCAGCAAAAUAUUUCAUAAAUCCAUCAGGCCAGGAUGUUUAUAAUACAAGUUAUUUUCUUGGUCCUCAUUCUACUUUGGAUUUAAUUUUGUCUGUUUGGACCAUAUUUGAGUGAUUUUCUGUACCCAUAUUUUAAACAACUGGUUAAUUUUCCCUAAUUCUAGAUUAUGGCCCAUUCCACUCUGUUAUCAGAAAAUAAUUUUUCGUUCAGCACAAUUCUGGACUCUAGAAUUCAAAACCUCCCUGCAUUUUUGAAACCACUUUAAAAAUUCAGCUCCAUCACUGUACAUCUGGUUCUGUCUUCAACCAAUCUGUGCUUAUUGCUCAUUUCUCUGCUUUGUCAAACACUUUUAAGAUAUUCUUUGCAUGAGUGGAGCUACAAAUGUCAUAUCUGUUGAUUUUUUUUUGCCACAAUGUUUUGGUGUCUAUAAAUCACUGAACCUUCUGUUGCAUCCCUGAAAAUUGGAUAUUGAAUUCUGACUGGAUUGUGGUGUUUCAGAAAUGUAACCUUGCACAACCUCACCGAGGGAAUCACAUACAAAUUGUCGAAUAAUCAAACUAUGCUUUGCUAACAGAGGAUAUCUUGAAGUAAUAUAUAGAUCAGGAUUUACCAAAUGUUUGAAUUCAAUAAUAUCCCAGCUAAACAAUCAGUUUGUACAUUAUAAUGUGACUCAGAUAAUUAACUAGUUGGAGUUGUUUUUGUGAGAAUUUAGAAGUAAUUGAAAAAACUGUGGAUGCUAUAAAUCAGAAAUAGAAACUGAAAUUGCUGGUAAAGCUUAGCAGAUCUGGCACCAUCUUUGGAGAGAAAAAGGAAGUGUUACUUGAUCCGAGACGUCAACUCUGAUUUCUCUCCACUGAGAAUGCCAGGCCUGCUGAGCUUUUCCAGCAAUUUCUGUUUUGGUUUCUGAAGGUAACUGUAUCCAGUUAUUUAUCCAUGUGAAAAAACAAGAGGGGCUGAAUACUCCUCUGCUGCUCCAUAUUUAUGUUUUCAUAAGUAAUUGCAUGCAUCACCUUAUUUUCAAUACCUGCUUGAUUUGUUUAGGUUAUUUUAAGCAGAACUGACUCGUUGCAUCAUUGUGACUUAAUAUCUAAUGAUAGAGUAGAAUAGGUAGAACCAUGUAUGACAGAAAUUUAAGCUACAGGAUUUGGCACAUGACCAGUAAAGAUCGUUCAGAGUAGUUAGACAAGGGCUAAUGUUGGACUUGAGCAAGUAGUGAGCAGAUUUGUGUAAUUAAAAGUCAGUACAUACGUAGAAAGUGUUAAGAAAGGGAAAGAUAGAGUGCAGAAUCUACUGAAAAAUUACUUACAAAUUCACUGUUGUUACCAGAUGGACAAUGUUCAACUAUUAUUUGUUUCUCCUUCAAGAAUUAGAGGCUAGUUCCAGCACCCUGUAGGAAAUUGGAUUUAGUAUCGAAUAGUGUGUUGCCUAUUGAGAUGCAUUAUAUGUACAGAUCCAAUAGGAGAAAUAGUCGUUGAGGCUAAUAGCUAAUAGAAAUUCAUCAGAAAGAGUGCAAGGUUAAAAAAAAUUACCUUCAAAACUAAUAACUUUUAAAAAUUCGUAUGAUGUUUUAAUGUAAUUAAUACUGUCUAAUUAUUAAGCUUGCAAUUGCCUGAAGUAGUAGGGAAGUUUUAUAAAUACAUCAUUACAUUUUUAACUAAUUUUCUGCUCAAAUGUAAUUGGUGACACUAUGUGAGCUGAAGAUGUACAAGUAUUAUAAGUAGGUCUUUAGUUCCUGUGUUGAUAUGCUUUUUAAGAAGCUUUUUGAUUUCAGAUUAGAAGAAUGGUACCAUUCCUGUACAUAAUGGUAAAAGUGUGGAGAAGAAUACUUAAUAUUUAUUGUAAAUCAUAUUGCAAAAUAAUAACAGACACUUCAUGGAAAAAAAACCAAAGAUCUGCAAAUGCUGGAAACAAAAACUGGCGUUGCUGGAAAAAUUCAGAAGUCUGGCAGCAUCCGUGGAGAGAAAGGACAUCUGAAGAAGACUCACUAGACCCAAAAUGCUGAAACUCUGGGGUGUUUACUGGAAAUGUAGCAAUGGGUGCCCCUGGUCAACACGAGGGAAAAUUAAAACCAUCCAAGAAACAGCAUCCCAUGCCAGUGGGAACAUGGAACUGAAGUUGGCCUGUGUAGCAGUGGUUUCCACUUUGUUUAUUGAAGCACAACUUCAUAUUAGCAUUUCUGGGACUUCCUCCUCAACAAGUGCUUAGAUAUGAUCAAGAAAUGUCGUCACUUAAUCAAAGAAGAAUCAUUGUGAGCAUCACUAAAUUACCCUUACUGAAGAUGAUGAAGUGGAGCAAUCAUUUUUUAAUCUGGUUGAUAGUACUUCAUCUUAUGCAGCAGGAACCAAUGAUGUGCACUGUCUCCAAAGCUUUAAUGCAUAAAAUGUGGUGAAAAGGAUUUUUAUGUUGGAAUGUAGCUUCAUUAAAUAAUAGUUUUUUCACCUGAGUAUUUUUUCCUUCAACUUCUCAGCAAAAUAAAAAUAGUUAUGAUCAUUGGAUUCCACAAUAGUAAGCAAAAACUGCUCUACUGUGGUUUUAAAGUAAGUUUGUCUAAGGUGCAGUGUUAACCUCCUUUUGUAAUGUGGUUAUCAAUCAUUUUUGUCUGCUAACAUCUCAGUUAUUUUUUCUGCAUUCAAAUUACUGUAACAUGCCUGCAUUAUUGCUACUGUUUUCGCGUGGAAGAAGCUAUGGGAUCAGAAUCUUAAAUGUCUGAAAGCAUGAUUUUUUUUGUCUCAAGUUGCAUUAUAUUUUAAACUAUGAACCUGCAUUUGAGUCAAGCCAAAUGACGCCAGAAGAUACUUAGUUAAGCUAUGAAUGACUGGAAAUGAAUUAAAGCAGUGCUUCUGUUCCACAGUAAGAUGGUGUCCUUAUCAGCCUCUACAAGAUCAAUUUAUAAAUGUGAAGAAAACAUGUUUUCAUGCAAGUUUUGGAGUUAAAGUUCAAGAUAGUUUUAAGAUGUUCUGUUGAGCACUAGAUUCUGACUGGUACUUUGGGUUUAAGAUUAUGUAAAUGAAAAUGUCAGAUACUGUUUUGUUUUCACAGGAUUGAAGUAACAGGAAGAACAAGGCAUUUUAAUAAAGUAUGUGAGGGGAACCAAACAAUGCCAAAAUGUGGUAUGGCACAAAAGAGAUAAAAUUCUAUCUAUUUAUAAUUCCAUUGUGAGAUUUAAAAUGUUAUAAAACUGACCCGCCCCCAUAUUUGUGGCCAUUGUGUACAAAUAUCAAUUUAAGCAUUUAAGGGAUUGUUCAUUCCACUUCCCUGAACCACUCCUUUGACAUUAAUCUCUACUUGAGUUGAACUAAAAUGAAUUCCAAAUGGUUAAAACCAAUCUCUGCUUUUGUACUAGUGUCAACAUUUAAAAAUUCUUUGCUUCCUUACAGAGGCAUUGCCACUAUGCAACCUUUUAGAGCCAAAAGAGCAAAAUCAUGUGGAGAAUGGUAUCUUUCGUGACCAUGAUCAGUAUUGUUCUAUGGUUUCCUGACACAAAAUUGAUUUUGUAAAGGAGACAGUUAGCAACAAACUGCCUCAAGAAUAAAAUGUUCCAUCAUGCAGUAUGCACCAUAUAUCACUGUCAAGCCACAACAUCUUUUGCAUCCAAGCAAAUAACUGAGCUUGAAUAAAUGGCAGCUCUGAGUUGUAAUCAGCGCACAAUGUUGAUGUAAUUCUACUUCUGGGAUAUAGGGAUUCUUUGAUAAAUUUAAUACGUGCUAUUUUAUGCAACAGCAGAAUUGUUGGACAGUUCUUUGAUUCAGCAAACAAAUUUAAUUGCUAAGUCACACUGAACAAGCUGUCAUGCCAUAAAAUGGCAUUUGAAGCAAAAGAGUGGCUCAGUGAAGUGAUAUUAAGUAUUCAAAUGAUGUGCAAAAUAACUAAGCAGCAGUGUUUUUAAUCUAACUUGCCUGCUUAAGUAACUUGAGGAAUUUAACGAUCGACAAACAGCUAACCUAUUUCGUAGAAAUUUUUUUAAGUUAUUCAUGACAGCUUGAUUCUGUUUUGAUUAACUAAUAAUCUCAUUAAAAGUGCACUAAUGGGCAGGGGGAGUAGCUGCUUCACCUAAUUCACAAUCUGAAUAUUAUUUUAUUGUUGUAAAAUUAAAUUUCAAAAAAUCAUUUUAGUCUGGGUUGGGGCUGUGAAUGCUGUGUAGACACUAAGCAGGGCUUAUUGGUGUAUAUCUUGUUCCAAAUUUUAGACAUUUAUGAUGGUUAGUGUUGGAUCUAAUAUGUACUGAUGGGUGUUUAUUACUUUACCAGUUCUGCAUUGAAGUACUUGAAAGACCUAUUUCUCUGUGUAUAAAGUUGUAGUGUCAUGAUCAAGUGUUGAAACUGGACAUAACAUGGUACCAAACACUAGGAUUAUUGUGCAAAAACUAGACUGACCUCAUAACAAUACAAGUUUGUAAAUAUACUUGGGCUUCCAGUCUGUUUUUGUUACUACUUUUUACCAUUAUUUGUACAAUUAGAAAUCAGUGAAUAAACAGAUCUGAGGAAA